rnacentral:rRNA from 1 species
UGGGAAUAUUGCACAAUGGGGAACCCUGAUGCAGCGACGCCGCGUGAGGGAAGAAGGUAUUCGUAUUGUAAACCUCUGUCUUCGGGGACGAUAAUGACGGUACCCGAGGAGGAAGCACCGGCUAACUACGUGCCAGCAGCCGCGGUAAAACGUAGGGUGCGAGCGUUGUCCGGAAUUACUGGGUGUAAAGGGAGCGUAGGCGGCUCUGCAAGUUGGAAGUUUAAUCUAGGGGCUCAACCCCUAAUCGCUUUCAAAACUGCAGAGCUUGAGUGAAGUAGAGGUAGGCGGAAUUUCCGGUGUAGCGGUGGAAUGCGUAGAUAUCGGAAGGAACACCAGUGGCGAAGGCGGCCUACUGGGCUUUAACUGACGCUGAGGCUCGAAAGCGUGGGUAGCAAAC